ensembl:lncRNA
CAACAACAGGAAUUAGUGCACUUUGUCGCUCAGCUUAUGGGCUCCACACCAGCCCAGAUGGUGGUGGUGGGGGGAUGGAGGGGGGGGGGGUGGGGGGGGGCAGUGACGAGCACUUGCUGCUCUUUGUCUGGCAUUUGAUCUCGCCGGUAGUUCGUGACUGAAAAGGAGGUUGUAGUGAAGCGAUGGCGAGUGUCUGAUCGAUUCAAAUUUGGUGUGAUGCAUUUGAUUUUUGAUUUUUUUUUUCAAGCGGCCUUAAAAUGAGUCGGUGUGUUUUGUGAACAACAACGUUUUUAGCCGUAUUGUAGGUGUAUUGCUGCGUGGAAAUAACUUUCAUCACAAACAACUUUUCAUCUCGCGGUCUGGCCACUACAGAAAGUCCAGAAUGUGCCGGAGAACAUUGUGAUCCAUUGACGGUCCAGAAAAUAAAGAACUGAAGCCCAAGCUGACGUCUUCAAAUGUUUUUAUUUUGACCGACGUGAGGAGAUCGUGUAUCCCUUGAGACCGCGUAGAAGCAUCUAAUGCCUGCAGCCGAGUCGCAGCCGCUUGGUUUAUUGAUUACGGGCCUUUAAAGCAAAACGCCAAACAGUCGCCGAUUAUUUGAAGAAUGACUGACCGGUUAAUCGACUAAUCCUCAAUUUGCAAAGCAACCACGGCUGUCAGAUAACACUAGUGGGGGCAAUGAAGAUGAAAAAAAAAAAUGUGGUGAGGUAAAAGUUUGAGGUUGCACAAAAUGAAAAUACAGCUGCUGAGUGGUACUUUUUGUUUCUCUCCACUUGAGAGGCGGCCUGUGUUUUUAAAGCCUUUAAAUCGAGACAGCGAACAGUUAGACGAGCAAGGGGAGGGGGUGUGUGAGGGGGUGAGGGUUUGCUCUCACCCAGCAUUUGCUACGCCGGUACCGGCACACAGACGAGUGUUUGUGCGAGUAAGAGGGUUAAGGAUCCUUUUUAAAGCAGUUUAUUUACUGAGGAUACAUCAUCCUCUCUCUCUCUGUCUCGCUCUCUCUCUCUCUGUCUCUCUCUCUCUCUCUCUCUGUCUCUCUCUAAUGUCUCUCCGCGCAGGGACGAGACUACUGUUCGGGGGAGGAGGAGGACGAAGACGGGACAUAGCACAGAGGCCCCCCGAGAUUCACCCUCACAGAGGGCCUCACAACGAGCGUGUGUGUGCGUGUGCGUGUGUGUUUUUGAACGUACGGCAAAGAUAGUAUUUUAAUCGAAAGAAGUGGGGACGAGUGAGAGAGAGAGAGAGAGAGAGAGAGAGAGAAAAUGGGAUGAAGAGCACUUUUCUUCGGAGGCCACAGCCCUCCUCAUCCCUUCAGGCCCCCCCCGAGCGGACAGAUGGAGGUGGCGAAGCGAUGAAGGCGCAGACGGAUGAAAGGAGGGAGGGAUGGAUGGCAGAGGACGUGACGAGAAGGAGACCGUCGGCUCCGCGUCCCUCCAUCUGUCCCUCCGCGUCCAUCCGGCUGUACCUGCCUGAAUAUUUUAACCCGUGCAACAGGACGUUGGGACUCCUGAACGUGGAGCUCCUGGUAUGGACAAAUGUCCCCGGCGCUGGGGGCCCGGGACUCACGGAAGGAGGCCCCUGGGGAGACAAAGGUGGUGAAAGCGGAGGAGUCGCGUAACACCGCCAGGAACUUUUUGGCCCGUCCACCGACAGCCGGGUCACCUGGGCCACGGGGGGACUGAGCGAAUGGGUGCGGGCGGAAAAAGAGUGGAAAAAAGUGUGAUAUUUUAAUAAGAGAGAGUAAGGGGCACGCCAGUGAUUUAGAAACUCUAAACUACUCUGCCUUCUGAUGUCAAGGACCUUUUAUUUUUAUUGUUUUUCGCAGCUCCGUGUACGGCCCCCUUUUUUUUUCUUUUUCUUUUCUUCAGUUUGUUUUCCUCUUGCCUUCCUUUUGUAGUUCAUCAGCAUCAUCCUCGUCAUCCUCCUCACCACAGCAGGCAGACUGAAGCUAAUUCAGAUCAUUCGUGUCUCGACCCAAUCCCCCCCCCCCCCCCGUUCAUAUGUACCGUAACACUGCGGAUCAAAGCCGACACACACGUACAUACAUGGAGACUUUUAUUGUUCACAUCGCACACUGUCAUUGCAACACACCUCAGCAAGUACAGAUAAACCCGACAACCGCACACAAACGCACACACACACACACCCCUUUCAUUUCACCAGCAAAUGGCAAUCUGCAUCAUAAAGCUCUAGUUCUGCUUUGAUUCAGUGUUCUCUCUCACACACACACACACACAGACACACACGCACACAUGAGAAAAAAACGGGACUGAGCUCACUUUUUUCUUUUUUUUGUUGGGUCAUCUCUACCAGAUACUUCCUGUUUUAUUUUGGAUACUUUCUUUUUUUCUAUUAAAAAUAAAAUCAAAGAAGCUCUUACUUUGUGUGGCAUUGUGUGAGUACUUGUGCGUGGCCAGAAUGCUGGGUCAAGGUGUGUGUGUGUGUGUGUGUGUGUGUGUUUUCCUGUG